AUUGAACGCUGGCGGCAGGCCUAACACAUGCAAGUCGAACGAGUGGCGGACGGGUGGGUAAUGUCUGGGAAUCUGCCUGGUGGAGGGGGAUAACUACUGGAAACGGAAGCUACUACCGUACUCCAUCGGCUGUGCCCAGAUGGGAUUAGCUAGUAGGUGGGGUAAAGGCUAACCUAGGCGACGAUCCGUAGCUGGUCUGAGAGGAUGACCAGCCACACUGGAACUGAGACACGGUCCAGACUCCUACGGGAGGCAGCAGUGGGGAAUAUUGCACAAUGGGCGCAAGCCUGAUGCAGCCAUGCCGCGUGUAUGAAGAAGGCCUUCGGGUUGUAAAGUACUUUCAGUGGGGAGGCGUUACCCGCAGAAGAAGCACCGGCUAACUCCGUGCCAGCAGCCGCGGUAAUUC
rnacentral:rRNA from 1 species